GACGAACGCUGGCGGCGUGCUUAACACAUGCCAGUCGAACGGAAAGGCCCUGCUUUUGUGGGGUGCUCGAGUGGCGAACGGGUGAGUAACACGUGAGUAACCUGCCCUUGACUUUGGGAUAACUUCAGGAAACUGGGGCUAAUACCGGAUAGGAGCUCCUGCUGCAUGGUGGGGGUUGGAAAGUUUCGGCGGUUGGGGAUGGACUCGCGGCUUAUCAGCUUGUUGGUGGGGUAGUGGCUUACCAAGGCUUUGACGGGUAGCCGGCCUGAGAGGGUGACCGGCCACAUGGGGACUGAGAUACGGCCCAGACUGCUACGGGAGGCAGCAGUGGGGAAUAUUGCACAAUGGGCGGAAGCCUGAUGCAGCAACGCCGCGUGCGGGAUGACGGCCUUCGGGUUGUAAACCGCUUUCGCCUGUGACGAAGCGUGAGUGACGGUAAUGGGUAAAGAAGCACCGGCUAACUACGUG
rnacentral:rRNA from 1 species